rnacentral:misc_RNA from 1 species
UGCUAGCUGGGAAGGAAGGACAG